GGUCAAGUUAUUAAGGGUGCAGGGCGGAUGCCUUGGCACUAGGAGCCGAUGAAGGACGUGAUAAGCUGCGAUAAGCUUCGGGGAGUUGCACGUAAACUUUGAUCCGAAGAUUUCCGAAUGAGGAAACUCACUUAGAGUAAUGUCUAAGUAUCAUUAAGUGAAUACAUAGCUUAAUGAGGGGAACUCAGGGAACUGAAACAUCUAAGUACCUGAAGGAAGAGAAAGAAAUUCGAUUCCGUAAGUAGCGGCGAGCGAACGCGGAUUAGCCCAAACCAAUAAAGUUUUCUU
rnacentral:rRNA from 1 species